GGAAGGUUGUUCGUUUGGUGCAGAGCGUAAGUCUACGCCUUACUUGAAUGUUCGGUACAUGUUAGUGUGUGUGUUUGUUAUGUGAACGUAUAUCAUGCCAUGUAUGUGUUUGCCGACGUCGGUCACGCCAAAUCUGGAUUUUCUAUGCUUAAUAAUUGUUAAAGUUGCGAGAAAGGUGGUUAAAUCAUAAAUUUGUGAAAACAAUUUAAUUGGGGGUUGCUUUCAUUCGACGGACAACAAAAACAGCUGAUUUCCUUAUGUUUUUGUCAAAAGGGAUAGAGCACACUCUAAUCGACAAAAAAUAUCCAUCCAUAGAAGUUUAUUAUCCAUAUAGAUAUAUAUUGAAUUGGAAAACGGCGCUGAGGUCGGAAGAUAACAUAUGAGGAUCUAGAUUUCGUGAAACUGCUUAGAUUGACCAUGUCUCCGUCAAUGAAGAGAAGUUUAUAUUGGAAACGACAAUUUUUCUAUUUUUUCCGAAGGAUGAUAUCAUUAAAUAAAAAACAGCAAGGAAGAGCAAAAGUAGGGCGGUGCCGACUGUAUAAUACCCUACAGCUACCCUUUAAGUAUAAUGUGGGAGAUUUAUCUAAUUCUGAACCAAUUUCGAUGGACAUCGGCGGAUGUUUUCAGAUGUAUUAUUAAACAAUAUCAAAUUUCGAGCAAAUAUGUUCAAACUGUAAUAACUUCGGUUGACAAAUGACAACAUUAAUGCAAAUUACCCAAAAUCUGACGAACAUAUAUAUGGGAGCUAUAUCUAAAUUUGAACCGAUUUCUUAGAUAUUUUGGUAGUCGUUGAGGAAUGUGUUGUGCAAAUUUUGGCAAUACUGGUCAAUAAAUGCGCUUGUAGUGGUUCUUGGAGAGAAAA